AAAUACACAUGUAUCGGGAUGGUCCAGCUACUAGUCAGUCAAUCACAUCGAUGGAAACUGAAAUGAUUAUUACUCCCUCGCCUGUUUAUACUCAUCCGUACCUUACAGCUGCUUCUGUGUGACAUUUGUAUUUCUGUUUCUAUUGUUAGCCUCGUACCUUCCCUGUCUGACAGCAUCUGGAAUGUCCUCUGUCCUGGCUUGUCGGAAUUCUUCGAUGGAGUCAUUCAAUGUUUUUAACUGACGCCUUUCAACUAUCUCAUCAACUUAUGGAUGGUCAUGAAAUCUGGUGAAGACGUGGAUGUUCCCCAUGAGAAGCAGACUUUGGAUUACGCAAAAACGACUCAACUUCCAUCAAAGUCUGUGGAGGGUUGGAGCAUAACCCAAGAAAGAAUGCUUUCAAUUUAGUUUCGGAUCCGGAUCCAGGAAUUCCGCAUUUCUCUUUUCACUUUCUUUCAAAUUUCAUUUUUUCACAUUCAGUGCCAAUCUACUGAAAUAUAUUGAGCUGUUAGUAUAGGUUCCAUGAACAUUGGUACAGAAUGGGGGUGUUUAAAUGACAUGUUAUCCCAAUGCACCUCCACCCUAAAGUUAACCUUGAUCCUGACAAUUUAAUAUCAAUAAUAUCCUUGUUGCUGUGCCACGAGGCCUCAGCUUCAACACGGGCUUUCAGUGCCAUGUUUAUAUAAGUGGCACCUUCAAUUGUUUUCACAAGCUUUUUGUUUUCACAUGCUUCUCGCUACAAAAGUUUGAAUUUCUAGAGCAGCCGGUCCGAUAUUCUGUUGUGUUUUUCUGGCGAGGAGGCGAGGAGGUGAGGAAAGAGGGGACAAGUUUCCAGGAAGAGUUGGUUUUCUUUUUUGCCCUCCGUUUAAAUCCCAUCACCACUGUUUUGUCAAUCAUUAUUUCCUGCCUCCCGAGAGACUCUCGAGUUUUAACAGAUUUCGGAGUCUGAGGUCACAGCUCUCCUUAAUGGCUUAUUGUUAUUGGAGGGAGUUUUUACUGCUCUGGGAAGGCUCUGGACGGCGGCCACGCGGGACCUGGGAAAGGGCCGAAGACAGUGUCUGUCUGCAGGUGAGCAGUGACACGGCAUCCGCAGCGGCUGUUGGGUCAGAAAUGUUUCAGCCAUCAACGCUGCUGUAGAAUGAAAUGGAGUCUGACCUGUAUUUUCUGUACAGAUACACGUCACUGACAGGAACAUGCUGGCUCAAGAACAGUAUUCGGACAGGUUUGGAAUUCAUGCUAUCUCUAGACCUAUUUUUACAUGGAAAUUAAUUAAACAGUAAAUACUAUUAAUAAGUGUUAUGAAAAUCUUUGCACAUUAAUCUCCAGUAUGUUUAGUUGUUUUGAUUCAUAAAGAUCAUUUUCACUCUAUUGACGAAGUAUAAAUAUUCCUUUUUCAGCAAAGAUUCAAAGAGGCGGUUGCUGGUAGAGGCCUCAACAUUGAUUUACUAAUGAAAGGUGCAGAUGUAAUGCAUGUAGCACAUUAAUAAAGGAUGAUCUGCAUUAUUCAUAAAUAUCAAAACUAUUUACUUGAUUUAUCAAUUAACCUUUUGUCUAAAUCAGCGAAAAAAACAUGCAUCAGUGUUUUCUUCAAAUUCCUCGGUCUUUUCCUAAAUAUGACUUUUUAAGCAGAAAUGAAAUUUUUGCAUGCUU